rnacentral:lncRNA from 1 species
AUACAUCAGGGGCUAUUUCUUUAUUAUUAUAAUUUUUUGGGCAAUUUGAGAACCGGGGCUAUUCAUAAAAGACCCGGGGCUAUAGCCCUGGACGCCCAGGACUAACGACGCCACUGCUGUAUCGCAUUGUAUCGCAUUGUAGCCGAUUGCCAUUAUUAUUGUAUUGAUGUAUAGCCUACUGAGCUCACUUGCUCCGUAGCCCGUUCCCAGAUUGCAAAAAAUAUCCGCACGGCUUCUUUUUGCCGCCGGCCCUAAGCUGUCAGCUAUUGGAGCGUCCUGCUGGCGGGGAUGAAACGUUUGCCGCCGAAUACGUCACUCCCAUUUCUUGCGAGAUGCCGGCGGUCUGACUGCCUCAUUUUCUCUGGCGGUUGCCUCGAUCUAAUGGACCGCGGUGGUGCGGUAUUUAAAAGACGCUUUUAAAUACAAGGCUACUCUCAAAAUCGACCGGCCAUGUUGGUUUGGACACACAUUCGCAUCAGUUCGUCGCUCAAUCGCGAGUUACAGCCUGCAGCCUGCUAGCUAGCAAAGACAUCGACUACCAUUGUUUAAAUACCUUGGCCAGAGCAUAACCGGUUAUCUUCACCCAAGAGACCUACUGUUGGUCAAUCGUUUUGGCUUUAAAGGUAAAUGCAUUGUUAGUCACAAUGUCUAGUUACUGGGCCAAAAGGAAAAUAAUAUUGAAAAGAGUUGAGGGACAAACAGGACAUUCACUUGAAUCACUACAUGCUACAGAAGUUGCAUCGAUUCCAGAAAACCAGGAAAAUGUUGAGCCAUCUGUAGACUUCAGAGCUGAACCAGGUUUCUCCCCAGUAAUCCAGACUCCACUUCACAGAGCCAAGAGUUUGAGAACAAGGCACUUGACUUUCUGGAUAAAAGGUGUCGAGGUAUGUUGUACAUAUCAUUAGCUUUGCACAGUUAAAUUAUUGUUUCAUUACUGAAUAUGCAAUCUCUGCAGUGAAAUUAAAGCUGUUGUUUGUUCCCCCAGCUCGUCAAGUACUAAGCUUUACACCACCAGCAGCAAAUUUAACCUGGCAGCAUAUGGGUGAAAACACUGGAGGUAUGUAAUAUGUUGCGCUAAACUAAGUUUUACAUUUAAGUCCAAUUCAUUAAAUGUAUGCAAUUACUUCAAACAUAUUUUUACGUCGAUGAUUAUCAAUAGGAGAAAGUCAUCGCUUUGUUAUUGGCCCUUGGACGCCCCUGGCAUCUCGUGUACAGCAUAAGAUUUUCAGCUAUUAAGGUAUAUUCUAGGCCUAUGUCUUAUUGUCCAGUGUUUUAACAGUAUUGAAAAUAUUGCCUUUAGUAGUUGUUUUUUUAAUUUUUUUAUGUAGAUUUCCAGAGUCUCUUCUUGGAGUCUCUGGGAGGGGUGCUGGAAAGUGCUCCGACUGGGGACUCUAUUGUUCUACUGGGGGACUUCAACGCCCACGUGGGCAACGACAGUGACACCUGGAGGGGCGUGAUUGGGAGGAACGGCCCCCCGGAUCUGAACCCGAGUGGUGUUCAAUUAUUGGACUUCUGUGCUAGUCACA